GGUUCCCAGGCGCAUCACAGUUAUAAUUUGUUACUUAAGGAGAAGAAGUUUGGAAAAUCCUUUAUUACUUAAGUGGAAGAAGUUUGGAAAAUCCUUUAUUAGUUCAACUAUGCAAGUACAUUACAUUCUGGGUCAGGUCCAGGUUAGCGUUCAACCUCCCUCACAUCAGGAUACCAAGAUGUAUUUGGGGUUCAGGAGAAGGGUAGCCAGUGACGGCAACCAUCUUAGAAAUACUGACAGGACAUGUCAGCGGGAGCCAUGAUGGAUGGAAACUAUUAGAGAUGUUGGGCCACUUCAGGACUGGGUCAAAGCUGAACAACAGAGACAUUUGCCAGAUAAAUAUGGAAGACUAGCGACCUGACAGGCAAGUAUGAGAGCAGUUCUUAAUAACCUGACACCUUGGACCAUUUUGUAAACUUUGCGUAGCACAAUACAAUCAUCCAAUAUGUCUCCAGUAUGAACUAUUUUUACAUUUAAAAGCUUGGACUGCACUCCAGGGCUCCUCAUUAUCACCAUUUGAGGAGCAUGAUGUGCCUUUUCGAUACGAGGUGAAGGCCAUUGUGGUGGCCUGUGGUUGGGUGCCAGUCAGCUCAUCAUUGGAGUGAAGGCCUUCCCUGUGAGAGAAGCUCACCUGGCCGCCUGCCAGCUCGGCUGAAGUCACCUAAUGAAGCCUGAUCCCGUUACCUAAUUCCUCAUUCACUGAGUCAAAGUGACUUUGUGGAUGAAGUCAUUCGCCCAUCAGGGACCUCAGGGGCGAGUUCUAAACAAACCCUGCAACUUGUUGUUGUUUUAGAUUUAGUUUGCAUGCUUCUGUGGAACGUAUAAUCCGGCAUAGCAUGCGGGCAUGGUGAAAAUCACUCUAUGGCUGAGGCAAUUUUGUUAAGACAUGUUGGCCGCAAAAUAUAUGACUUACUGGUGAUGCGCAGGCCUAAAAAUGUUACAAAGUUUAUUCAGAAUUACAAAAAGCCCCUUUAACAUCUUCCAGUCAUGUUUGAGCUUCUCAGCUUUCGUGUUAACGUUCAUCUUGCAAUUACAGUAUUAAAAGAAUCCACUAUUGAGCGUGGAAGCGAGACAACGUGACAACCCAAAUAACACGGAUUUGUCAUGUCAGCCAAAGUCUAUGUGAUUGAAACUCCAACGUAAUGCGUCGGGCUACAUCAAUCUUUCCAGAUCACAGCUUUUUAACAUCUCAUGAGUCACUGUGCAAACAUAUAACCAUCUAAUGCCAGUCUCGGUCAGCGCUCUCUCAUUACACUAACACUGACCAAAACCAUGGCCAGUGAUUCACCGAAUUACAGUUAAAUUAUAAGUGUGAGUUUCCUUUUAAAAGUAAAAGACUCAGGUGAACAUUGUUUGAGGAACUUAAAUGUAAGAAAAAAUGGAUUUGGUCUAUGCAUUGAAAAUGAAAUGAUGCUGCUGUCAAGGCACUGCCGUUUAAGCGGUGGAAAACCUGCUCAACCCUUCUGUCUAAUAGCAUACCACAAAUGAGUCAUCCCAGGAUGGAUACCUAAAACCAAAAUGCUGUCUGGAUCCUUGGCGAACUGCGGUCAUCUUUUCAAGCCUCGUGGAUAAACCUCCAUGAUAUCACAGCUGGGACUGAGGCUUUUCUUCCAGUCACUGUGCUUGGUUUACCAUUAAAUGGAUCGAAACGUCACAAUGCCAUUGUGUAUUGUGAUUUCUUUUUAGUCCAUGGAAGGAGUGCGGUCUAAUUGUGUCUGAGAAAACUUUGCUGUGUGUAAACACUCGGCCACUCUGACUGAUCAUUAUGUUAAAUGUCAGCUGGCUUUAAAGUUGUGGCCGAGGCAGCUGAGCAGUAAAGCCACCCUUCGUCAGUGGAUUACAGCUCUCUGUGAACUUUCAUCCGUCUAUGGAUGAACGGGCGGCAGCAACAGGAGGCUGUAAUCCUUUGGGCCACAACAGCAGUUCCUGAUCCAAGGUGGAAUGAAACAUCCAACAGUAAAACCCCAAUCAGAACUGGACUGGAGCAGCAAGCUGCUCAUCAUGUGGAUGAUGAUUACUGCAGUACACGAGGAUGUUAUUCAAUCGCUCUACCUCAGGCUGGAUGCUGUGCUUUUUACCAACCUUGGGGGAGAAAAUGACGUUUUGAUGAUGAGGGGUUAGGAGAGCAUUCUUGAUCUAUCUUUGUGAAAGUGUGAGUCAUUUUGGGUAUUGGAGGAGGAAUGGACAGGAGUGAGGUCGGAGAGUGAGGAGGAUAGAAUGAUGAGGUGGAAUCGCUUGAGGGAGGGAAGGAGGAAUGGAAAUUGAGAGUGCUUAUCACAGACAAUUCUGUCCGAGCACGAUGACGUAGUCUGUCUGAACACCUUGUUCGUCCCUUGUCCGACCUAAUUUUUACACUCAGCCUGCUUCCUGUUACUUAGAUGUGAAACCAAGGUAUGAGUAACCUCGAACAUGCAUGUGAUAUUUCGUUCUCAAAUUUCUCUUGUUAUCGGGAAUGCCCACAUCGGUGCUGCUGUCUUCCCGAGCGCAUACCAUCCCUGUCACUCCCUCUGCUCUGUAGUAUGGUCGCUUCACAGAGAAGGCUAUGUGUAAUGCAAUUUGGUUGAUUAAAAGAAAACAUUAAAGCUGUACCUUAUUGAAUUUGACGGCACGUACGGAUUUGGAUCUCACUGGCCACUCUGUUUUAUUGGCUGGGAUGAAGGCAAUCACGUCAUUCCCCAUCGUCCGCUGCCCCCACCGCUUCCUACAAUUCAGUACACCAACCUCCCCACCUUUGAGCUCCGCCUCUCCAUCUCAUCCUGCCCCAGAGAAACCUUGGCAGUAGAUCGUCCUGCAUUUGUUUAGACCUCCUGUCUGUCUCUUCUGAAUCCCCUCACUAACCUUGACUGGGACAACAGAGAACAAGGCAAAUUACAGAGGGAUGAAAAGAGACUGACGGAAAGAUCAUUGGGAUAACAAGAAUGGACUCAUUUUGUGUGUGUCAAUUAAAAGACUGAUAGAUCAUUAAUCUUCAAAACAAAUGGCUUCGAGGUAGUCACCUACGUCCAUGGCUGUUAAGAUGACUCAUACCUUGUCUUUUAGACUGUAGCAUGACUUUCAGAAGGUUAGAGGACAGAACGGUUGGUGUGUGUGUUUCACCUUCAGAGAGUCUCAAACACCUGCCAGACCCCUAAAUCUAGGCCAAUACUUUAUCCAUUUGCCAUCGCCAUUCCAUUUAUUAGAGAUUAGUCAUGUACAGAAGCAACAAAACAACUUCUGAGCACAAGUCCUGUAUUUGGAUGACAUCAUCAUGAAUGCUUCAGUUACGUAUGCUGUCUGAAAUGUAAACAGAUCACCCGAGGGGUGAUGUAAUGCAUCAGUAUUUUCAGCCACUGAGUUGCAGUUUUCAACCCACAUUGGCAAAGUGCAUUGUUGAGUCAUUUGAUGAAACUUAUUGCAAAGUGAAAAAGGCAAGACGAUUAGCUGAAUUUGAUGCUGGCCUAGCUUUUUAAACAUUGAUCGAUACAUUAGUGAAUAACGUCAUUAGUAUGCUGUCUGUAGGCAACAUUUUUUUCAUUACGGUGAGGGAAGGGAA